rnacentral:rRNA from 1 species
AACGAACGCUGGCGGCAGGCUUAACACAUGCAAGUCGAACGCCCCGCAAGGGGAGUGGCAGACGGGUGAGUAACACGUGGGGAUCUGCCCAAUGGUACGGAAUAAUUCCGGGAAACUGGGACUAAUACCGUAUGUGCCCGCAAGGGGAAAGAUUUAUCGCCAUUGGAUGAACCCGCGUCGGAUUAGCUAGUUGGUGAGGUAAAGGCUCACCAAGGCGACGAUCCGUAGCUGGUCUGAGAGGAUGAUCAGCCACACGGGGACUGAGACACGGCCCAGACUCCUAAGGGAGGCAGCAGUGGGGAAUAUUGGACAAUGGGCGCAAGCCUGAUCCAGCCAUGCCGCGUGAGUGAUGAAGGCCUUAGGGUUGUAAAGCUCUUUCGCCGACGAAGAUAAUGACGGUAGUCGGAGAAGAAGCCCCGGCUAACUUCGUGCCAGCCGCCGCCGUAAGAC